UUUUUACAGGUGUUGAGGGAAGGAGCCCAGAGUAUGAAGAACCUCGGGAUUUGAGGUCAAAUCCUUUCCAAGGUGGAGCGAAUGAUGCAAUCCUACCCCGCAAGGGCAUUGGGUAGAAAACUCCAAGUAGAUUGGGCUAGAGAUCCAAGGGAAGGCCCUAGGGUUCUCAUGAGCCUUAGGGUAGAUUUCGAGCCCAUGGACUAAGUAUGAGCCUGCUUAUCUUUGUAAAUAUUAGAAUAGUUAUUUCCUUCGUCUGGGCCUUGUAUUUUGGCCAUUCUAGUAGUAUAGGGUUUUAGCCUUGUAUUUCGGGGCAUUUUGAGUAGUCUUUGUAGUAAGGACUUUUUUUUGUAUUUUCAUGUUUUUUGUCAUAGGGGUGAGCUUAGCUAUUAUAGGGGGUGUGUAGCUAAGCUCUAGCUUCUCAUCUCAAGGAGGUGAGCUUAGCUAUUAGAGAGAUAUGUGUAGUUAAGCUCAAGCAUCUUUAGGAAUCUUCUUAAGGAAGCUUCUCAAGGAGGUGAGCUUAGUUAUGAG
rnacentral:lncRNA from 1 species